rnacentral:rRNA from 1 species
GAUGAACGCUGGCGGCGUGCUUAACACAUGCAAGUCGAACGGAGUUUGUGCGGAAGGAGUCUUCGGACAACAGAAGUAUAAACUUAGUGGCGGACGGGUGAGUAACGCGUGGGUAACCUGCCUUAUACAAGGGGAUAACAGAGGGAAACUUCUGCUAAUACCGUAUAAAAAUAUUUCACGCAUGUGAGAUAUUUGAAAGAUUUAUCAGUAUAAGAUGGACCCGCGUCUGAUUAGGUAGUUGGUGAGGUAGAGGCUCACCAAGCCGACGAUCGGUAGCCGAUCUGAGAGGAUGACCGGCCACAUUGGGACUGAGACACGGCCCAAACUCCUACGGGAGGCAGCAGUGGGGAAUAUUGGACAAUGGGGGCAACCCUGAUCCAGCGACGCCGCGUGAGUGAAGAAGUAUUUCGGUAUGUAAAGCUCUAUCGAUAACGGAAGAAAAUGACAAGCCGUUAAGGAAGAAGCCCCGGCUAACUACGUGCCAGUAGCCGCGGUAAUACGUAGGGGGCAAGCGUUAUCCGGAUUUACUGGGUGUAAAGGGAGCGUAGACGGCAUAUAAAGUCUGAAGUGAAAUCCCGCAGCUCAACUGCGGAGUUGCUUUGGAAACUUAUAAGCUGGAGUGUCGGAGGGGUAAGCGGAAUUCCCAGUGUAGCGGUGAAAUGCGUAGAUAUUGGGAGGAACACCGGAGGCGAAGGCGGCUUACUGGAAGAUAACUGACGUUGAGGCUCGAAGGCGUGGGUAGCAAACAGG